rnacentral:lncRNA from 1 species
AGGCUCAGCCGUGUGCUGCGGCCUGAUGGGCAGACACAUCACUCCUCUCGUGGGGCUGGAGUCGAGUGUCACCACGCAGAGUCAGCAGUCUGGACUCAGACACUUGGGCUGGAGCCCAGCUGUCAGCCCUGUCCCCAGGUUGUCCCUGGCACUGUCUGGGCCUUUUGAGCUGAUCGAAGUGCAGUGUCUGGAAAACACCAGACCAGCGCUAGGUCCUGCAUGCAACCUCUGAGUGUUUGCUUUCCUCCUAGAAUUUUUAACCAGCAGAAAAUCACAAACCUGCUGUGAUUGCUGAGGCCUCUCAUCUAGUCAGGCGACCAGCCAAGGGAUUCGCUGGGUGACCUCGCAGGAGACCUUCAUCUCCCUGAGUCUCUUUUCCUUCAUCUGUAAAAUUGAGAAGAUAACCCCUGUGAAGGGCAAAUUUUGUCAAAUGGUCAAGAGUGAUUAAGAACUGCCUUUCAGAAAAUCUGCAAAAUCACACAGCCAGGGCACGUGCAAAAGAAGAUAUUGUACCUGAAACGACCUUGGAACUAAAGAUCCUCCUCCCCACGGAACCCAAGGACGGAGACGUGACCGGAACCUGAAGGUCGGACUCAGCAGAAGCGAGGGGUUCCUCAUUCUGAAGAUCCUUCCCCACCCUGUCAUAAAUGUUGAAAACUUCGCCAUAAAUGCUUGAAGCCCACCACCCAAUACCCGUUCCAUCUGCGUUUCCAUGUACCAGCCCUAAGCUCUUAAAUUUUGCCCCAAAUCCUGAAUGGAGAAGACAGAUCUCAGGGCACACACCCCCUUUCUCCUUGCAGAUGGAUCUUGCAGAAUAAAAGCCGAUUUCUCCUGCAAAGGCUGAUGCCUUAUUUAUUGGCUUAUUUAUGCACAACGGGCAGAGAACACCAAUUUUGUGCAGUAACAGGGUUGGGGAGUUUGAGGGGUUGAC